rnacentral:lncRNA from 1 species
AACAAUUUAGGUGUUCCUCUUUUCUCUUCUCUUGGAGCACAAAAAAGGUUACAAGUAAUUAAUAACCGAAAGACUAAACCAUGAAAUCUCUUACCUUAAUCUUCACAUUCUCCAUCAUUGCUACCUUCUCACAUGCAACACCAUCAUUAUUGGUCACUCUCCUUCAUACCCAACAAGUAAAUAAAUUUUAUAUUCUCAUCUUUAUUUUUAUUUUGAAAUAUUAAUCCAAAGAAGGGAAUACCCUUUAAUUCAAAAUUAUUAAAAAUCAUUUGAACAACAAUAUAGCGUACACAUGAAUGUAUACAUUAUUGAAUCUUAAAUAAAAGGCUUUAUGUACGUAUUAUAUAUAUAUAUAUAUAUAUAUAUAUAUAUAUAUAUAUAUAUGCAUGUUUCAGAUUAAUGAGACUGCACUAUCAAGUGGUAGCUGUAUUUACAAGAUCAUCAUAACAACAAGCUGCAGUUCUCCAAGACUUACAACAGAUGCAAUCGAUAUUUUAAUUGGAGAUGCUGAUGGCACUCAGGUUCUUUUCUCUAUCUAAGAAUAUAAUUUAACCAUAUAAUUAAUAUAACCAUAUAUACAUAAGAGAAAUACAAUUAGAUGACCACGUUCUCUCGCUCUUUGAUACAAUGUUUGUAUAAAAUAACAAUAAAAGUUCAAGUUUACUUAUAUGAGUUUAUCAACCGACAUAAGUAUUUGCGAGUUAAGAACACAUCUUAUAAUAUGUCCAUGACCUAUAUUUUCAGCUUAUUCGCACAAGUUUUUCAUGAUAUAGCCUAUGAAAAUAAUAGAUUAAAACUAAUAUGAAAACACAUAUCUUUAUAUAAUUUGCAGAUUUUUGCAAGUCCAGAUCCUAACACGGGGUUGUUCAAGCAGUGUGCGACGGAUAUAUUUGCAGUACAUGCAGAUUGUAUAGGAAAAAUCUGCAAUAUGCACUUUGUUAGUGUUGGAAGAGAUGGUUGGAUACCAGAGACCGCCAUCGUAUACCACCGUGACUACCCUCCUAUCACCUUCAACUUCGACUCUUUCCUUCCUUCAGGUGGUCCCUUUGGCGUCAAUUAUUGCGAACACUAUUAAUUACUAGAAUUAAUUAAUAUGCUUAUUAUAUUUCGUCAAAGAUCAAAUGUCAAGAAGCAUAUAGAAGCAGUGUAAUACGUAUUAGGGCUAGCUAGGUAGGCUCGAAUAAGGUUCCUUUCUAAUUACUGUUUGUUUUUACCAGCUAAUAACUGUUUUAAUACGGAAGAAAAACUAAGAAAUAAACAAAUUUCUUUAAAAAAUAUAUUGAAUGAUCAAGUUACAUUUUUUUAUGAGAUUUACAUUAGUCUCUUACACUGUCCACAAAAAAAAAAACUUAGUCUCUUACACUACAUAUAGAGACUAAUUUUAGUUAAUUGCAUAGAACUAUAAUAUUUUAAUAUAACAAAUUCUAGUAUCUCUUCUUCUCCCAUCGUCCUAUACUGCAACUUCAUCAAAAAAUGCAACUAAUUACAGCUUUGAUAUUGUGAAAGUUUUGUUUUGUUUGGAGAACGUUUAAUUUUAGCUAAGAAAGGCUUGAUGUAGUAAAACUUUUAAAAGUGUACGGAGUAAUUUUUUUUUUCAAUACAAAAUUUACUUUUUUUUUAGGGAAAAAAUUGACUUGUUUUGUUUCAUUAACUAAUGUCUCGAAGUGUAACAAAAAAAAAAACUAAUGUCUCGAAUACACUAAUUAGCAUGACCCUUAAUCAUAUAACUACACAUAGGAGAAAUACAAUUUGAUGAGUUAAAAUCGCUCUUAUUUUGUUGAACAAAUAAUUAGCUCAAUUUUAAAAUUUACGAUAUUGAUGCUAUUUUUUUAAGGUUAAUUAAGCAAAUGGUCUCUAUAAAUAUUCAGAAUUUUGUUUUUAGUCCCUACACAAUAAAAUCACACAUUUUAGUUCCUGUAACAUUUUGCUUUGGAAUUUUACGGACCAAAAAUGUUGGCGCAAAAUUUUUACAGGGACUAAAAAUACUAAUAAAAAAUUUACAAGGAAUAAAAAUGUUGAUAGACAAUUUUACAGGGACUAAAAAGUAAAUUUUUAUUUUUUGGCGACUAAAAAUGAAAUUCUGAAUAUUUAUAGAGACCGUUUAGUUAACUAGCCUUUUUUUAUUACACUGAUUCUAAUUUAUUAUUACACCCUCCGUUUCUAAUCGAUUGUUACCAUUAAAUAGUAUAGAAUAUUAUUUGAACUUCUUCGUCUCAUAUAUAAUUAAUUGUUUUUAUGAGGGGAAGACAAAAAUGUAUUAUGUGCUCUUUUUACUUUAAUCGUUGUUUUAUUCCAUUGAAUUUUUCUGGUAAGGUUUUUAACGAUGCAUAUUCUUAAACAAAAGGAUUAUGUGAUCUUUAUCCUUCACUAGAACUUUUUUUCCACUAGGUUUUUCUCCAGAAAAGUUUUAAUGAGACAUCCUCGAUGAAAUUCCAAGAGGGGUGUUAUGAAUAUUAUAAGUGGAUGUCCAUUUAAUAUUUUUUUUUGAACAAGCCAAAAUGAAUUAUAUUAACAUUGCCUGUAUAAUUACUUCAGCACAAGGCGUGCCAAAACAAUCACGAAAAGAACAACAAGUAUGAUAAAAUUUACAAAAAACUAGUCGAUGCCCAAACACAAAAGAGGGCUCGACCACCACGAAUGAGUACCAAAACUAAAGGUAGCAUUAUUAGCUUUCAACCACCACAAAGAAUAUGAUUUUACUUUAUCUAACAGGUGUGGUAUAAAGCUUUCUCGGUUCCUAAAUAACUUAUUAUUUCGUUCUAUCCAUUUAAUUAUUGGAUUACUAGGCUAUACUAUUGGAUCAAGUUAAACCAUUAAAAUUAUCUGCUAAGUAACACUGUUAUGCCUAUAUCCUAGUCACACAUUUGUACUUAUCUAUCAAGUCAUAUCAUUGUACUUCUUUGUAAAUAAAGAUCAAAUGUAAGGGAAUAAAAAAAUCUUGUUCUUUUUGUUCUUAUUCUAAAAGUUUCAUAACAAUUUUGAUACAAUAGAGGAGGUGUAAUUCAAGCUUUCAUUUGUUGCUUUUGUUUGUGUUUUGUUUUUUUUUCCUUUUCAUUUCUCAUUUUUUUUAUUUGAGUUAGGUUAACGUCGACUCAAGUUUUUCCCUCAUUAUUUUAAUGUAUAUUGGCAAAAUUGAUCAUACAAUCGUGUUGGAAUUGAGUGACUUUGUAGAUGAAAAGUCGUCAUGGUUUCCGCUCUAUCUUUUUUCUAUAUUACACUCUCUCUAAUUUUUAUUUUCUUUCAUCUUUCUCUCUCAUAAAACACCCUAAAAUACAUUAAAAUCACCAUACAUUUCCUUCCAUAAACACUCACUCUCAUUCUUUUGUAGUCUCUUAACUUAAUUUGAAGUAAUGUUAAGUAUUUAUCUUUUUUCUUUCUUUCCAUAAUAUUGAGUUAAAUUAUUUUACUAACUUAUAACUUUUCUUUUAUAGGUCAAUAGGUCAAUAUUCAAGUAGCUUACCACUUAUCAAAUUUUUCUUUUAAUUUUGCCCUUGUCAUCUCAAUUGAAAAAAAAAAAACAUAAUUUUUUAUGUCAUUUCAUAAAUUAUCAGAUAACAAAUUUCAAAUAUCUUCUAUAAAUUCAUUCGUUUUAACUCAAAUUUAUCAAUUAUUCACCAUUUUCAUCAAACAUAGCCUUAGGGGUCAACAUGCUCGAAUAUAAUUACUUUCAGCAAAGGAAUCUAUGAUCUUUAAAAAAAAAAAAGCAAAGGAAUCUAUGAAAAAUCCAAAAACUAAAAUAAAAAUGAAUGAACCAAAUAACUUUUUUUUUUUUGAACAGACGAACCAAAUAAUUAAUUAGUCUGUGAUCUUUCGGUAAAGCAAAGAAUUAGUGAAUUGCAUUCCUACCACACCAAUUGGCAAUUUGUUCUUCCAUGAAGCCAAUAAGUUUAUUUAUUUUUAUAUGAAUGAAGGCAUUAUAGUGUCGAAAGACAUAUAUUUAUUUUGUGGUAAGGAUUUGAACUCCGGAUCUUUUAUAUAUAUAUAUAUAUAUAUAUAUAUAUAUAUAUAUAUAUAUAUAUAUAUAUAUAUAUAUAUAUAUAUAUAUAUAUAUAUAUAUGUUUGGGAAGUCCAUAUUAGAUACUAAUAAACCAAUUAAACCAUGAAUUCUCUUACCUUAAUCUUCACAUUCUUCAUCGUUGCUGCCUUCACAAAUGCAACACCAUCAUUGGUCUCUCGCUCUCAACUUCAAAUGAACCAAUAUUCCAUGCUUAACCAUACCCAACAACAAGUUAAUACAUUUUAUAUUCUCAUCUUUAUUUUUACUUUGAAAUAUUAAUUCAAACAAGGGAAUACCCUUUUGUCAACACAAAAGAAUUUAAAAAAAUCGAUAAAUCAUAAUACAAUGAACAUGAUCAUUUGUUCAUGCAGUUUGAACAAAUAUACAUAACUGUAGUUUCGUAUUAUGCAUGUUUCAG